AAUUCAUUUUUUUAGUAAACUGCUACUAAAGUCUGUAGUAAUGAAACAUUUACUAAAAUUUUUAGUAAUUAUAACAUAAAAUUUUAGUUAUGUUGCCUGGAAUCACUAAAGUCUUAUGUUACCUUUACUAAAAUUUUAUUUAUCUGUGAAUUUUUUAGUGAAAGUAACUAAAAUUUUUAGUUUUAUUGCUCUUUUACUAAAGUUUAGUAGGCAAUUUAGUCAAAUUCUUUACUAAAGUUUCCAGUAAAGACAUAACUACUAAAAAUCUUUAGUUAUGUCAACUAGAAUUUUAGGAUUAAUGACUACAAUCAUUUUUUCUUCGUUUACUAAAGUUUCGCCACGCCAAUCAAAAAUUUAGUUGAUAUCACUAAAUUGACACAUUUUUAAACCAAUUAAAUUUUUAGCAAAAAAAUAGGUUUUUUUUAUUUCCUCUAUAUCAUUUGAUAACAAUUAUUUCUGAUCAAGUUAAUUUGCGCAAAUAUAAGAGACGUAAUAUCUUUUAUAUAUUGUCUUUGUUCCAAUGCAAGAUGUUGCAUCUCAAACUUUUUUUAUUGUUUUAUUGGGGUGCCGAGGUCCCGAAAAAAAUGCAUGCAGAAGAUUUGUGUGAAGAACGCAUACAACACAUAUACCGGAGGCUUUAUUUUUUCUCACCCUUUCUUACCCACACACAAAUUUUUCUCCUUAGCACCCUCUAAAGUAUUUCACAAUAUUCAGUUCUUUGUGGAAUUUUCCAUCGAAAGUACGCAAAAUAUUUUGUCUUCAAUCAAUGUGAUAUGUGAAAAGUAAAUUUAAUCCAUUUGUAUAGUAGUUUUGAGAGUGAAAAUUGUGGAAAAGCCGAUUGUUAAAAAAAAGAGGAUAAACAUGACAAGGUAUUGUAUAAUUUAAGUGAAUAACAAUUCUUUAUAUUACGAAUUGAUUUACAACAUAUAAAAUUAUCAACUUUGAAUUCAACCAACUAAUUAUAUGAUUUUACUAUCUUGCAGUAAAACAGGAAGAGGAAUGGAUCAUAUUCUCAUCGAAGCCUUCCUGUCUGUACCUAAAUGGUCUGCCCAUCCCCAAUAAUAAUUGAAACAGGAUAAAGGAAAUCCAAUGGGAAAAAUUAAAAUGUAAAGAUUUUACCGAAUGAGCGCAUAUCAAGCGCUGUCAACCCGUAAUCAAAUUUUGGAAACUUAGAUUGAACGAAGAGGAUAAACACGAAAAGGUACUGUAUUUUCUGUAUGAGUUACUUCCAUUAAUUUUAUCAAAUUAUUUGCAAAUUCUAUGAUUUUACUACCUUGCAGUUAAUCAGACUACAAUAAACAACCGGAAAAUGGGUCAUAUUCUCAUCGAAGCCGUCUUGUCUGUACCUGGAUAGAGUCUAUGAUCGAAAACAUUGAUUGAGAUAGGACAGAGGAAAUCAAAUCACGAGAAAUAAAGUUUAAAGAUUCCGCCAACUGACAUAAAGAACAGAACUUUCGCGAUUCCUUGAAAGGGUACUUUGGAAGAAAAUGACGUUAAGACACUCACAUGAAUCUGCCGAACUUCACUGAACAAAAAGGCUUUUCAAAACGGGAUACCUGCCUAGUUAAUUAUUAUAACUAUUACAUACAAUGUAAUAUAAAUUAAAUUGAAAUAAAAAAUUAUUUUUUUAAAUCAAAAUUCAAUAUUUAAUUUUUUUUAGUCAAACAAACUGGAUUUCCAGUUAGCAUGGCUAAACUUUAGUAAUCCAAGAAUUUUUAACAACUAUAGUCAUGUAAAUGAAAAUUUCUGUUCUCAUUCCUAAAAUUUAGUAAUCGAAGAAUUUAGAAUAAAUAGUUUUAUCAACAAAAACCUCUGUUGACAUUCCCAAACUUUAGUAAUAUACAGACGUAAAACAUUUUAUUAGCCAUAACUAAAUAUUCUGUUGAGAGAACUAAAAUUUUUCGUAAUGAGCAACUACUAAAAUUUUAGUAAAAAUUUCUUUACUAAAAUUCUCUACUAAAGUCCAGUCAGUGCCAGUUUUAGUAAUGAUAACUAAAAUCUGAA